UUUGAAAGUUUGAAAGAGGGAAUUGGAAACGGUGGUAGCAGCACAGUGAGGUUUAGGGUUUCUCCUUCCAUUCUUCAGUGUUUACAGAGAGAGAAAGAGUAAGAGAGAGCAAUGAGAGAGAUCAUCGCCGAUUCCAUCCACGUCAACCACUAAGACGGCGUCCUCAAGGGUCACGAAACUGCCGACCUCAACGGCGAAGUCGUUGCCACCCUCUGCGGCGUCGUAGAGCACAUCAACAAACUUGUCUACGUUCGCGCGUUACGCUCCAAAUAUAAACCUGAGGUUGGUGACAUUGUUAUAGGGCGUGUUGUUGAGGUUGCUCAGAAGUGUUGGCGAUUGGAGAUAAAUUACAACCAGGAUGCAGUUUUGCUGCUUUCUUCUAUGAACAUGCGUGAUGGUGUUUAGGUAUUUCAUAAUUUUUUUUGGGAAUGUAUCUUGUGAUGAAUUUUUUUCAAGGUUUUAAAUAUUGGUAGCGGUCAUGUUGCGGUUUCAUGGCAUUUGUUGAUUUCACAGGAAAUCACGGUUUUUAAAACCUUGCUUUUAUUAGAAGAGUAUCUGGAAUCUGUUUAGCUUAUGCAUCUCUGAAUUUUUUUAGAAAAUUUGGGGUCAUUUUGUUGUGCUUUCUUUAAAAUAAAAUGGAUCAUAAUUAUGAGUGCUGAAUAGAAGAAUGCACCUUUCAAUUUAGUUGUUCCUUUUGA